rnacentral:rRNA from 1 species
GUCUACGGUCAUGCCACCCUUAACAAGCCCGAUCCCGUCUGACCUUGGAAGCUAAGCAGGGUCAAGCUGGUUAGUACUUGUAAUGGAGACCACGUAGAAAGACCAGGUGCUGCAGGCG